UACGUAGGUGGCAAGCGUUGUCCGGAAUUAUUGGGCGUAAAGCGCGUGUAGGCGGUUCGGUAAGUCCGCUGUGAAAGUCGGGGGCUCAACCCUCGGAUGCCGGCGGAUACUGUCGGACUAGAGUACGGAAGAGGCGAGUGGAAUUCCUGGUGUAGCGGUGAAAUGCGCAGAUAUCAGGAGGAACACCGAUUGCGAAGGCAGCUCGCUGGGACGUUACUGACGCUGAGACGCGAAAGCGUGGGGAGCAAACAGG
rnacentral:rRNA from 1 species